UACGGAGGGCACAAGCGUUGUUCGGAAUCACUGGGCGUAAAGCGCGUGCAGGCGGUUUGGCAAGUCGGAUGUGAAAGCCCUGGGCUCAACCCAGGAAUGGCAUCCGAAACUUUUAGGCUAGAGUCCCGGAUAGGAGGGCGGAAUUCCCGGUGUAGGGGUGAAAUCCGUAGAUAUCGGGAGGAACACCUGAGGCGAAGGCGGCUCUCUGGACGGUGACUGACGCUGAGACGCGAAAGCGUGGGGAGCAAACAGGAUUAGAUACCCCCGUA
rnacentral:rRNA from 1 species